UUCUUUAAAAGUCCGCACCCCGUUUUUUACGCAAACUCCACUCGCAACCCGAGUCAGGAUGUGGUCGCACGCGCUCGCCCUCGCCCUUUGGGCUCUCCUGAUUCCGGGAUCUUCCGCCGAGGAUGAUUUUUUGACGCAGAAGUUCAGAAUCAAGUCCGUUUCUCUUGGGGGCACGGUGACCAUUGGCGCCAGCGGGAGCUCAACUGUGGAUGAUCUUACUUGGUACCAAGUGAAACCUGGACAGGCUCCCAAAAUGCUCAUCACCGGAGCAACCACUCGCUUCUCUGGCACGCCAUCUCGAUUUAGCGGCACACGAUCCGGUUCCGACUACACUCUGACCAUCACUGGUGUCCAGGCGGAAGACUUGGCUGAUUAUUACGCUUUUGCCUGGUACAACACCGGCUGGUAGACACGGUGAUUCAGAGGAGUGCAAAAACCUCCUUCGACUUUGAGCGAAGUGAAAGUAGCCCGCAGAAGGCGGCAAGGGAAAAGCACUCUAAAACUGUGGAUGAUAAGCAUGACUGGUCAUCAAGCAGAAACAGCAGCAAGCUCCAGAAUCAUUGAAGCAGAAUGACAACGUGUAUAUACAGCGCAAACAAUUCUUAAAAAA